rnacentral:rRNA from 1 species
UACGUAGGGACCAAGCGUUGUUCGGAUUUACUGGGCGUAAAGGGCGCGUAGGCGGCGCGGUAAGUCACUUGUGAAAUCUCUGAGCUUAACUCAGAACGGCCAAGUGAUACUGCAGUGCUAGAGUGCGGAAGGGGCAAUCGGAAUUCUUGGUGUAGCGGCGAAAUGCGUAGAUAUCAAGAGGAACACCUGAGGUGAAGACGGGUUGCUGGGCUGACACUGACGCUGAGGCGCGAAAGCCAGGGGAGCAAACGGG